GAGCGGGGGGGUGAAGAAGCUGGGGGGGGGAAGGGAGGGGAAAAAAAAAAAAAAAAAGAAAAGGAAAAAAAAAAAAGAGCGCGUCCCUUCCAGAACAGCCCCUGCGGGCAGCGCUCCCCUCCCCGCCCCGGACGCGGCUGUGCGCGGCUGCUGCGCGCGUGUGUGCGCGUGCCCGCGUGUGUGUGUGUGUGUGCGCGUGCAAGUGCAACGCGCGGCCCCGCGCAAAAGCCGCGCAAGUCCCGCGGCGCCCGCCCCUGCAGCAGGGGGCCCCCGGCAGCCCCGGGCUCGCUUCGUGCCGGGCUCUGCGCGGGGAGCGAGCUCGCAGCCGCCUUCCCGAAGUUGCUAAAAGGCGGUUUUAGAAGGGUGCUCGGUGCGCUCUGCCUCUCUUCUCCCCGUAUGCUCUCUCCUGCCAGUCCCCUCUUUGAGUUGUAAAACUGAAAAAAAAAAAAAAAGACUGUGUCUCUGAGCAAGUAAUCUGUUCCAGAUUUCAGUCGGCACAGUGUGAUUCAUACCGAUAUUGAUAUGGCGGGGGGGUGAGGGGGGGGGAGGAGGACGGGGGUAGUUUCGGUGUAAAAAAAGCCAAACGUCUCAAGGCUUCCUGAUAGCAGGCUGCCUCAGCGCCACGGCGGCUGCCCUCCGAGGCGGCCGAGGGGCUGGGGGGGCGAGGGGCCCCUUGCCGGGGUCCCCCUGCCGUGGGUCCCUCCCGGCCCCCGCAGGGACCCAGCGGCCAGCGCCUUGAGGACUUGAAGCAACUCAUCCGCUUCCUCCGCUGUUUGCUUUAGAGUCUCGGGAGCCGGACUUUGAACUGGCGGCUGAGCUUUUUCCCCUCCUUCGCUCUUCGAGAACGGCCAAAACAACCAAGGAGAGGAACGCCCACGGGCUCUGGCUAUGCCAGAGUCCUUUCUUUCUUUCUUUCCUUUCUUUUUUUUUUUUUUUUAUUAUUUACUUAGGGAGAGCAAUCAGGUUCCUCGAAUUUCCUUCUCUUUCUAGUUUCUUUUCUUUCGCCUUGGCCAGAAGCGAGGAGUAACCAGGGGAGAGACCAGUCUAUUAUUUUCUGCAGUUGUUUACUGAUUCUGUAGAUGGUGCUUGUUCCCAGGGCUCCGAGCCUCUCUAUAAUUAAACCCAUUUUAAUUGUUAGGUUAGAAACGUCAUUUCGGGGACUUUCCAAGAGUUACCGAGAAAGCCGGCCGAGAUAACUAUUUCACUACUGAGUUGCUCUGAGCCGUUUUUGUUUUUUUCUUUUUCUCGGCUUCCUCCCUGCUCCCUCUUGUGCUGAAAUGUGCAUAUUCGCUCGCCCCACGCGUGCGUAUGUUUUGGAAACUUGGGGUUUGAGGUCGCGCAUUUCCACGCAUCGAGCAGUGAACGCCGAAGCCGAGAAGGAAUUUUUUCCAGUGAUUUAGCUUGUCAAAACCUGACUCCGUGGUGGUCUGCUUUGCAUUCAGCGCGCACAUGCUCAGAGCAGGAAUUUAGCUGCUCGCCCCACCUCGUGGCUAAAAGUCAGAGCCCUCCAGGCCAAAGUGGGAAUUUGUGUGGGCAUGAAUUCACACCGACUGGAGGAAUGAAAAAUCAGAGCCUUGCACCUUCUGCCAGAGCCCUGCAAGAACUUUGAUAAAUGGAAAUGAAUAAAGAUAGGUAAAUGAAUAAAUGAAAGUAAAUUAUUAAAGGAGGUUACUGAAAAAGUGAAUGAAUGCAUGCCAUGCUCAUUAGCCACCCUGUGUGGGGCAUGUUCCAGCUGGGACACUACUGCUGGGCCCAGGGAACGGCAAUAAAUGUCCAGGGCUUCUGAGCCCGACCCAAGUCCCUCUCCAGCACAGGAGCAGCAUCUGUAGCAUUCUCACUCCCCAGUUCUGGUGCAGGCAGAUGCUAAACUUGUCUCAGAAUAGACACAGAUAAGGGUCCUGGUCCAUGCACGCAUCCAGCCGAGCAGUUAUAAACUGCUUUCCAAAAUUGGAGCUGGCAUACGCCAGAACGGCCCGAAAAUGGGGAACAGACUAGGGGACUGCAAAUGAAAACGACAAGCCGGGAGGUUUAAAGAAGUACUUCUUCAAAUCGCGCGUGCACGAAGCUGUGGGCUCAUUGGCACAUGAUGCUGUGGAGGUCAAAAGUAUAAACGGGGUCAAAAAAGCAAUUUGACAAAUUUAUGGAGGAAAAGUCCCUGGAGGUUUACUAAAGCCAAAGGCAGACCUGAACUGUGUGUCGCUGGACAAUGCCCAGUGAAGUACUGCUCUGUCAUCCCCCUGCACUUUCCCCUGAGUAUUGACUGAUUUUGGCGGUAAGAGGAAGGCUAAAACAGACUCUUGAUCUGACCCAGUACAGUUAUUUUUACAUAGUCCUGGCCUGUCCUUGCGCUCUGUACUCCAUCAAACCCUAAUGGACUCCUCUGGAGCAUGGGUUGUGUGAGGAGCCUUGCAGGAGACCCUGAGGAGCUGGCAGGGGCUGACCCGAACCCUUGCUCCCGCACACUGAGCCACUUUACCUCCCAGCAGCUCAUGGCGCUGCUGCAGCCAGACACACCUUUUCCUGUCAUCUCCUGCUUUUCGUGGGCCUGCGGACAUCAGCGGGAGGCCUCACUGGGGCAGCCAACGCUCCCACCGUGCAGGUGGAGCUGCGUACCCUGUGCUGGCUGGAGGUGGGCCUCGCACGCGUGGCUCUCGCGGCACAGUGUGGAGGUGUCCAGGCCGGGCAGGAGAAGCUCCACGCUGGGAAGUAGAGGUCAGCGCUGUCUCGUGCCUGGGCCACUGGGCUCAGCUUCCCAUUCUGGCCUCUGCGAGAAGCUGGAGAAGAGUCCCACGGGGUGGCUGUGCUCUUCACUCAGCUGAACUCCCCCUUGGGGUAAUAAGAGGGUACGUGGGGCACCACAUAUAAACUGAACGCAAGCGCCAGCUUUGUCACACGUCCGUCUGGUGAUGGUACAGCUCCCGUAGCUACAGGAGAAUAUCGCUGCCUUGAGAUGCCUCUACAUGCCUUCACCUGGAGCCACACACCACCUUGUGCUCCGCCUGUGGAACAUCUCCGGGUUGCCACUGGGAGGUGUGAAUGGCCGGAGCUGGAAACCACAGGGUGUAGGGACGCCCUCUGCCAGGGCUGCCGGCACCUGGGGCAGCGUGGCCUCCUCCUGCUGCCAAGCAGAGGGGACACAACCAGCUCCCUGGUGGGACAGCAGACGCGCAGAGAUACAGGCAAGUGUGCUAGGGUGGUGGGAAGCAACCCGAGCGAGAUUCCUGGCUGCUCGCGUUUGUAAACAUCCGUAAAAGAGGGAGUGUGUGCAUGUGUGUGUUUUGUGGUGGCGUGAAACCCAAGAAGCUAGCUCCAUUAUUUUUGCUGGAAUUGGUAGCAGCAGCGCCAGGCAAAUAUUAUGAGCCCUUAAUCCUCCCGACUUUACACGUGUGAAUGACUUAAGGACCGUCCAGGAUGAGCUCAAUUACAGGACUUCUUUGCUAAUUAGUAGUGGGGUUUGGAUCUGAUUUGGUUGUUCGUCAGGAGGGCUUUCUCUUCCUCAGUGGCUCGGAUACUGGGCUACUGUUUGGGUGUGAAGGGAGGAAAAGGCGGGAGGUGGAUGUAGUGUGUGGCCUCCUGAGGAAGGGUCACGAGUUUAGCGCUGGUGGCACUGACAAGGUACUGCAGGGGAAAAAGCAGAGGUGUCCUCUCAGCAGACGCAGGGUAAGGAAAUUGGCUGAACUUAAUGGAUCCGAGCUGUAAUUUCCAGUGGAAAUACUAAUGCAGUUAAUGCACAGCAAGCCCAUGCUGGUGUUUUGCUGCCUGCCACGACCACCUCUGGGCCCCGCGGCUGCAGCCAGGCUGGUGCCAAGCUCCAUGGGGCUGGGGCACAGACGGGUGUGGAAGAGGGCAGUUUUGAGGGGUGGGAGAAAAGAGCAUGAUCCAGGUGGGUGCUGCCUGGUGGUGGCUGGUGAAGGUGCUGGGGUCAGCCCCCGUCCCACUGCCCCCCAAGUCCUGGCCAUGGGGCUGGUGGUGCACAUAGCGUCCCGCAGCGCGCUGCGGCCCCGCCUUGUCUGCAGGCCCAGCCUGCUGGGGCAGAGACACCAGCACUCUCUCCCAGCACUUUGGCGUUCAGAUCAAGGGGAGUGCCGGAAGCUUGAGAGAGGCUGUUGGCAGUGUCCAGGGGAAAAAAAGCAGCCCACACCUGCUGCAAGUCGAACCGGCAAUUGCCCUUUGUAUCAAUAGGGUGGUUAGUGCAUGAACCAGAAGCAAUCCUGGAAAUGGGAAGGUGUAGAUCGCAGCAAACAGCACAACUUCAGGAUUGUUUUCAAACCCUGCUUCCACGCUUGCAAGCCUGUACGCACCAGCGCAAUAAUGCAGCAGCACAGCCACUCCUGGUCGCCCAUGCCAGUUUCCAGCUGGAGCUGGCUGCUGAUUUAUUCAGCAGACAUCAACUGGUGGAAUGUUUCCAUGAUAUUGUCUCCCCUGAAAGAAUGUGCUAGGACUAAAUGCUUUCACAUUAUUAUUUAUUUAUUUAUUUAUUUUAAGGAGAAGGUCAAAACCUCUUCGAGAUCUCACCUUUGUCAGCCAUGCAGUGCUGGUGUCUAAACGUGCUGCUUGCUGUGCUGGCAGCAGUUCACCUCCAAUAGGCCUGGCUAUAAACCUCUGAAAAAUUCCACUUUGCCCCUUCACGGUGGAACUUGUCACAGCCUUGUUUUCAAACACAGUGGUUGUACUCCACACAUUUCACAGCUCAGUGAGAUAUUUGCAUCAGUGAGGCAGCUUACUUCCCUGCCUAUCCUAUCCCAUCCCAUCCCAUCAAAACAUACUUUUAGUACCAGGCAGGAAUCAAGGGUUAAGCCUCCUUUUCUUUUUUUCUCAUUUUUGCUCCUCCUGACUUCUGUGAACACAUUACGAUACCGCCUUCGGUUCCACUAUUACAUCUUUUCCCACAAGACUGUUGCCUCAUCCAGACCACAGCGGGGAACGUGCUUUCAUCUCUGCCAGCUGGGUACUGCUGGAGCACCCGGCCGUGCCCCCAGGAGCUGCACGAAGACGCAGAAGAGGCCAGGCGCUGCAGAUUCGUCCACAGGGCUUUGGUCAGACCCACAUCUGGGAGGGCAUUUCCAGGGAGCCUCCCAUUGUCUCCUUUGUCCCGCCUGGAACAAAGAACCUCCAUGAGGCUGGGUUUCCUCUCUCCUGAGUUUAGGUGCCUAAAAGUUAGGUGUCUAAACCUAAUUAGUCGGACAGGCUUCUUGCAUAGUCAAUGGAGACAAAUAGGCACCUCUAGUGUGUGAUUCACCUCGACUAUCUUCAGCAUUUAUCUUGAGAAGGGCUGACUCACUCUGGAGCUGAGUGCCCACUUCUCUUCUGUGACUGUAAAGGCAGAUGGGCAACUUGCUCAGAACUUGACAACUAAUUUUGGGACGCCCCAAGUUCAGGAAGGCGGAUCCCACCCCGCAGCCUGCCCACAGCAGUGGCUCAGGGAAGCAGGCACCAUUGCUGUGCACUGUCUGAGACCCCCCAUCAAAUUUCCCUCAGAGGCUCCAUGUCCAUACCAAGCAGGGCUGGGUCUUAGUGUGUCCAAAUCACAUUAUCAGCCCCUAUCACGUUAUCAGACCAAGUUAAAUAUUUAUAAAGCUGUUGGGGGCAGGGUCCAUGUCUUGCUACGUGUUUGUAUAUUCCCUCACGGACCAAAGCCCCAGCACCGGUUGCAACCUUUGUGGACUGGUGCAAUGCGGGAUGGGGAAUCUCUGUGUAAAUCUGCAGGUCUUGACGAAAUGCAGCUGGGAGUGCAAAGAGUGCUCAUGGACGUUGAGAAAUAAGCAGGAGUGAAUCAUAAGAGUCAGGAGAAGCUACUAAUGUGUGGGAAAAAGGCAAAUGUGCUACCUCUGCACAAACAUAUAAUAAGGAAGUAUGUAAUAAUAAUUAUUGUUAUUGUAAUACGGUCUGGGUGAGCAUUUGGGAAAAAGAUAUCUAAUAACUGACAAGCAA